GGGCAUGUAGCUCAGUGGUACAGUGCUCACCUAGCACAAGUGAAUCCCUGGGUUUGAUCUCCAGCAUGUCCU
rnacentral:tRNA from 1 species